rnacentral:rRNA from 1 species
GUGAGGAAUUUUCCGCAAUGGGCGAAAGCCUGACGGAGCAAUGCCGCGUGAAGGAUGAAGGCCUAUGGGUUGUAAACUUCUUUUCUCAGAAAAGAAUUAUGACGGUAUCUGAGGAAUAAGCAUCGGCUAACUCUGUGCCAGCAGCCGCGGUAAGACAGAGGAUGCAAGCGUUAUCAGGAAUGAUUGGGCGUAACGCGUCUGUAGGUUGUUUAAAAAGUAUUCUGUCAAAGCUUAGGGCUUAACCCUAGAUAGGCAGAAUAAACUUUUAAGCUAGAGUUUGGAAGAGGCAAAGGGAAUUCCCGGUGGAGCGGUGAAAUGCGUAGAUAUCGAGAGGAACACCAAAGGCGAAGGCACUCUGCUGGGCCAAUACUAACACUGAGAGACGAAAGCGAGGGGAGCAAAUGGGAUUAGAAACCCCGGUAGUCC